rnacentral:rRNA from 1 species
UACGUAGGGGGCAAGCGUUGUCCGGAUUCAUUGGGCGUAAAGAGCGUGUAGGCGGCCAGGUAGGUCGGUUGUGAAAACUGGAGGCUCAACCUUCAGAGGUCGACCGAAACCAUCUGGCUAGAGUCCGGGAGAGGAGAGUGGAAUUCCUGGUGUAGCGGUGAAAUGCGCAGAUAUCAGGAAGAACACCCGUGGCGAAAGCGGCUCUCUGGAACGGUACUGACGCUGAGGCGCGAAAGCGUGGGGAACAAACAGG